rnacentral:rRNA from 1 species
ACUGCUCAGUAACACGUGGACAACCUGCCCUUAGGUUGGGUAUAAACCCGGGAAACUGGGUAUAAUACCCGAUAGGUCUCGAUUGCUGGAAUGCAUCGAGAUUUAAAGCUCCGGCGCCUAAGGAUGGGUCUGCGGCCUAUCAGGUAGUAGUGGGUGUAGCGUACCUACUAGCCUACGACGGGUACGGGUUGUGAGAGCGAGAGCCCGGAGAUGGAUUCUGAGACACGAAUCCAGGCCCUACGGGGUGCAGCAGGCGCGAAAACUUUACAAUGCUGGCAACAGCGAUAAGGGAACCUCGAGUGCCAGGUUACAAAUCUGGCUGUCGAGAUGCCUAAAAAGCAUUUCAUAGCAAGGGCCGGGCAAGACCGGUGCCAGCCGCCGCGGUAAUACCGGCGGCUCGAGUGGUGGCCGCUAUUACUGGGCUUAAAGGGUCCGUAGCUUGAUAAUAGGGUCCCUUGAGAAAUCCGCCGGCUUAACUGGCGGGCGUUCAGGGGAAACUUGUUUUCUAGGGACCGGGAGAGGUGAGGGGUACUGCCGGGGUAGGAGUGAAAUCCUGUAAUCCCGGUGGGACCACCUAUGGCGAAGGCAUCUCACCAGAACGGGUCCGACAGUGAGGGACGAAAGCUGGGGGAGCAAACCGGAUUAGAUACCCGGGUAGUCCCAGCUGUAAACUAUGUGCGUUAGGUGUGUCAGUGACCACGUGUCACUGAGGUGCCGAAGGGAAACCGUGAAACGCACCGCCUGGGGGAGUACGGUCGCAAGGCUGAAACUUAAAGGAAUUGGCGGGGGAGCAC